rnacentral:tRNA from 1 species
GACUAGGGAGCUUGCAAUAGCACUUGACUUUUAAUCAAGAGAUAAUAUUCGUAUUUCUAGUUA